rnacentral:rRNA from 1 species
CCUACGUGGGGCAGCAGUGAGGAAUAUUGGUCAAUGGCCGGAAGGCUGAACCAGCCAAGCCGCGUGAAGGACGAAGGUGCCAAGCAUUGUAAACUUCUUUUGUCAAGGGACAAAAUCAGGCUCGAGAGCCUGACCGAGGGUACUUGAAGAAAAAGCAUCGGCUAACUCCGUGCCAGCAGCCGCGGUAAUACGGAGGAUGCGAGCGUUAUCCGGAUUUACUGGGUGUAAAGGGGGCGCAGACGGCAAUGCAAGCCAGGAGUGAAAGCCCGGGGCCCAACCCCGGGACUGCUCUUGGAACUGCAUGGCUGGAGUACAGGAGGGGCAGGCGGAAUUCCUAGUGUAGCGGUGAAAUGCGUAGAUAUUAGGAGGAACACCGGUGGCGAAGGCGGCCUGCUGGACUGUGACUGACGUUGAGGCCCGAAGGCGUGGGGAGCAAACAGGAUUAGAUACCCCAGUAGUC